UAAUAUCUGAGUGUUUUCUAAUGUUUGCCUGGGUUUCUUCUUCACAUUUGGAUUCAAUUAACACAUCAUGUAUAAGGUGUUAAUUAAAUCUGGAUAGCUUUACUCCGCUCUACAUAUUGCAUUAAUAUCUCUUUCCCAGAUGCAUCUACGUUAUGGAAACUAGGAACGCAAAUGCGAGUUGGAUUCCUGGCAGUGUUGUGGAUGUGCCCUCAACUGAACAUGAGCUUCUCCAGGUGAAACUGACCUUUGGCAUGAACCAGACAAAGACACUCUAUGGACCUAGAGUUAAACAUGAAUGGUGG
rnacentral:lncRNA from 1 species